rnacentral:rRNA from 1 species
GAUGAACGCUGGCGGCGUGCCUAAUACAUGCAAGUCGAGCGAACAGACGAGGAGCUUGCUCCUCUGACGUUAGCGGCGGACGGGUGAGUAACACGUGGAUAACCUAUCUAUAAGACUGGGAUAAGUUCGGGAAACCGUAGUUAAUACCGGGUAAUCUAUUGGACCGCAUGGUUCAAUAGUGAUAGACGGGUUUUGUGUCACUUCUAGAUGGAUCCGCUCCGCAUUAGCUAGUUGGUAAGGUAACGGCUUACCAAGGCAACGAUGCGUAUCCGACCUGCGAGGGUGAUCGGCCACACUGGAAGGGUGACACGGUCCAGACUCCUACGGGCGCCAGCAGUAGGGAAUCUUCCGCAAUGGGCGAAAGCUUGACGGAGCAACGCCGCGGGAGUAAUGAGGGUCUUCGGAUCGUAAAACUCUGUUAUUAGGGAAUAACAAUUGUGUAAGUGACUGUACACGUCUUGACGGUACCUUAUCAGAAAGCCACGGCUAACUUCGUG